rnacentral:rRNA from 1 species
AACGAACGCUGGCGGCAUGCCUAACACAUGCAAGUCGAACGAGACCUUCGGGUCUAGUGGCGCACGGGUGCGUAACGCGUGGGAACCUGCCCUUAGGUUCGGAAUAACUCCCCGAAAGGGGUGCUAAUACCGGAUAAUGUCUUCGGACCAAAGAUUUAUCGCCUUUGGAUGGGCCCGCAUUGGAUUAGCUAGUUGGUAGGGUAAAAGCCUACCAAGGCGACGAUCCAUAGCUGGUCUGAGAGGAUGAUCAGCCACACUGGGACUAAGACACGGCCCAGACUCCUACGGGAGGCAGCAGUGGGGAAUAUUGGACAAUGGGCGAAAGCCUGAUCCAGCAAUGCCGCGUGAGUGAUGAAGGCCUUAGGGUUGUAAAGCUCUUUUACCCGGGAUGAUAAUGACAGUACCGGGAGAAUAAGCUCCGGCUAACUCCGUG